rnacentral:rRNA from 1 species
AGUGAACGCUGGCGGUAGGCCUAACACAUGCAAGUCGAACGGCAGCACAGGAGAGCUUGCUCUCUGGGUGGCGAGUGGCGGACGGGUGAGGUAUACAUCGGAAUCUACUCUGUCGUGGGGGAUAACGUAGGGAAACUUACGCUAAUACCGCAUACGACCUACGGGUGAAAGCAGGGGACCUUCGGGCCUUGCGCGAUUGAAUGAGCCGAUGUCGGAUUAGCUAGUUGGCGGGGUAAAGGCCCACCAAGGCGACGAUCCGUAGCUGGUCUGAGAAGAUGGUCAGCCACACUGGAACUGAGACACGGUCCAGACUCCUACGGGAGGCAGCAGUGGGGAAUAUUGGACAAUGGGCGCAAGCCUGAUCCAGCCAUACCGCGUGGGUGAAGAAGGCCUUCGGGUUGUAAAGCCCUUUUGUUGGGAAAGAAAUCCAGCUGGCUAAUACCCGGUUGGGAUGACGGUACCCAAAGAAUAAGCACCGGCUAACUUCGUGCCAGCCGCCGCAGUAA